rnacentral:rRNA from 1 species
UACGAACCGUGCGAACGUUGUUCGGAAUCACUGGGCUUAAAGGGCGCGUAGGCGGGCUCUCAAGUCAGGGGUGAAAACUUUCGGCUCAACCGGAAAAGUGCUUCUGAUACUGGGAGUCUCGAGGGAGGUAGGGGUCGGUGGAACUGGUGGUGGAGCGGUGAAAUGCGUAGAUAUCACUAGGAACGCCGGUGGCGAAAGCGACCGACUGGACCUCUUCUGACGCUGAGGCGCGAAAGCCAGGGGAGCGAACGGG